rnacentral:rRNA from 1 species
AUUGAACGCUGGCGGCAGGCUUAACACAUGCAAGUCGAGCGAGCGGCGGACGGGUGGGUAAUGACUGGGCCUCUGACUGAUGGAGGGGGAUCACAACCGGGAACGAUAGCUCCAACCGCACACCAUCAGCUGUGCCGAGAUUGGAUUAGCUAGGGGGUGGGGUAAUGGCUCACCUAGGCGACGAUCCCUAGCUGGUCUGAGAGGAUGACCAGCCACACUGGAACUGAGACACGGUCCAGACUCCUACGGGAGGCAGGAGUGGGGAAUAUUGCACAAUGGGCGAAAGCCUGAUGCAGCCAUGCCGCGUGUGUGAAGAAGGCCUUCGGGUUGUAAAGCACUUUCAGCGAGGAGGCGUUACUCGCAGAAGAAGCACCGGCUAACUCCGUGCCAGCAGCCGCGGUAAUUC